rnacentral:lncRNA from 9 species
GUAAGGAGGAUGUACUUUCACAGAGCUCUCGAAAUAACGUAUGCUCGUACUUUAGCGAUAUUUAAAAGUCAUGUCCUCUCUUUUUCUUUUCUUUCUUUCUUUCUUUCUUUCUUUCUUUCUUUCUUUCUUUCUUUCUUUCUUUCUUUUAGUGGAUAAGAACUAUGCAGUAUUCAUGAACACCUUGAGCCUGAAAAUGAGGAACUCACCAUUCUGUGAUCAUGUGAAUUCAUCCAUAAAGCAUUAAGACAUUCAUGUGUGAGCCCUGAGACAGCCCUGAAAAUGAAUGCAGCUUCAUGAGACUAGCAGUAAAUUAACGGGAGAGGGAAUGCCAAAACUCAAAGAAAUCAAAGUGAAAAUAGGAACACGCCAUUUCAUAGUUUUAAGAGCUGGAUGAUGGCCCAACACUCGAAGAGCAUCGAAGGAAGGAUCACAAGGGAGUCUGGUGCUGCAGUCGAGGAGCCUGGGUGAGCGUGGGUGGGUGGGGAGGAGCGAGAAGGGGCAGAGGGAAGGAAGAGGGGUGCCAGACUUUCUCCUUGGAACCAUCCACCAUGCUGCUCCCACCCAGAACAUCACAAGAUCAAGCCUCUGGAUUCCAUGCAUCUAGCUUCACAUUCUUUCUCUCCUCAAGUGGGGACCAUGGCUGAAUAUGUCAUUUCCCUUGCAGGACGUAAAAUGAGCUUGGAUUAGAGAAUUAGGCCCAACUUAACUCUGCCCCCAGACUUGUGUCUGCUCCUUCAAGACCUGGACAACUUCCAGACCACGAGAACAGAGUGUCUAACAGGAAUCCGGUAAUGCUGUUGUGGUCAUAGCUUAAUUGCUCUGAAGAGGUAACAGGAUCCAGGCAAUAUCAAAAGCAUGUGAGUGCCCUCUGAGCUCAGCACUGGUCCCCAGCUCUCCCUUUUGCUGUAUCCGUGCCCAGGAGCUUCACCAGCUGGAGACAGCAUUGGCAAGGAGAGCUUCCAAUAGGAUAUGAGCGCUGAUGCUUCUCAUCAAAACCCUGCGCCUGAGCCUGACGAUCGGAACCAUCAGAACGCAAGGAGGCAAAGGUCUGAUGGAUCAAAGGGGACCCACCGGUUUGAUGCUAACCUACUGGAGGAAGGGAGGUCGUCUCGUCCGCUCAGAGGGAGCCAUUAUGAUUCUCAUAUUAAAGUCAUGGAAACUGAGUCCCGGAGAGUUAAGGAACCUGCCCACGUCUACAGAGAUGAGGUUGAAACAGAACCCAAAGCAAGAGGGAAGUCACACGGAGGAGUGCAGCUGGGAGACCAUCGGCUAACACCUUGGUGAGCCUUUUUCUGUGUGCCCUCAGUGUUCUGAAAUCGUCCAUGCAUUUAACUCAGUCCACCCUCCCUUUCUAAAAGCUUUGUACUUUGUGAUAAAUCACUUCCAUGAAUACCAGUGGGAAGGAACAAAGGGGCCCUCAAACACACACCUACAGAAAUGUAGGUCCUUUUUUUUUUGGCCUCACCUGUGCUAUGUGGAAGUUCCCAGGCCAGGGACCGAACCUGUGCCACAUCAGCGAUCCAAGCAGCUGCAAUGACAAUACCAGAUUCUUAACCCACAGUGCCACAAGAGAACUCUGGUGCAGUCUCCUUUGAAGGCAAUUUGGCAACAUCUAUUGAAAUUUAAAAUUCACAUUGUGUUUACACCCAGAAAUUCCACUUCUAAGUAUUAAACUGGACCAAGAAGUAUGUACAGAGAUAUUCAUGGUAGCAAGAUCCGUAAUAGCCAAGGAUUAGAAACAUCCUAAAUAUUUAUCAUUAGGAAUGCUAGGGGAAUGUUAAAAAAUAAAGCAAAUGGGGAGUUCCCAUUGUGGCGCAGCAGAAACGGAUCCGACUAGGAACCUUGAGGUUGCAGGUUCGAUCCCUGGCCUUGCUCAGUGGGUUAAGGAUCCGGCAUUGCCGUGAGCUGUGGUGUAGGUCACAGACGAGGCUCAGAUCUGGCGUUGCUGUGGCUGUGGUGUAGGCUGGUAGUCGUAGCUCCAAUUAGUCCCCUAGCCUAGGAACCUCCAUAUGCUGUAGGUGCGCCCCUAAAAAGCCAAAAAAAAACAACCCCCAACAUAGUUAUAGAUAUAGAGAACAGGUGGUUGCCAGAGAGGAGGAAGUUGUUGGGGAGGAAAAAAAUAAGUGAGGGAGAUUAAGAGGUACAAACUUCCAGUUGCAAAAUAAAUGAGUCACAUGUAUGAAAUGAACAGUGUGGGGAAUGCAGUUAAUAACUAAUAUCUGUUUAUGGAGAUUUAUCAUAACUAGACUUAUUGAAAUGCAGAGAAAUAUCCAAUCACUAUGUUGUAUGAUAGGAACUAACACAGUGUGGUAGGACAAUUAUACUUCAAACACAAAGAAACAAACAGACUCAUAGAAAAGAGAUCAGAUUUUGUUUGUUUGUUUGUUUGUUUUAGGGCCGCACCUACAGCAUAUGGAGGUUCCCAGGCUAGGGGCCCAAUUGGAGCUGCAGCUGCUGGCCUACACCACAG